AUGACCCGCCGCCGCAGCCCACGUCUCCAUCCCCAGAUCCCGGCCAAUGAGCAGCCCGCCGGAAUGGCUGUCCGCCGCAGCCCGCGGCUCCUCUCCCAAAAUCACACCACCGAGGAUGGCUCCAGCAUAGCCCUCCGCCGCAGCCCGCGGCUCAACCCUCAGAUCCCCGUGAGUGGCAAGGGCGCCGGAGCGACCCGCCGGCGCAGCUCGCGUCUCAACCCCCAAAUCCGCGUGGGUGAGGAGGGCUCCGGGGUGACCCACCGCCGCAGCCCGCGGCUCAACCCCCAACUCCACGCGAGCGACGAGGGCGCCGGCCGCCGCACCACGCGGCUCCACCACUCGAGCGAGGAGGGCUCCGGAGUUACACGCCGCCGCCGCCGCCGCGGCACCUCGGCGGCUGCGCCUGCCGCCCUGCCGGACGACGACGAUAUGCUCCGGGAGAUCCUCCUGCGCCUCCCGCCUCAGCCGUCCUCCCUCCCGCGCGCUUCCGCCGUCUGCAAACGCUGGCAACGCGUCGCCACCGACCCCCGGUUCCUCAGCAGCUUCUCUGCCCACCACCGCAAGCCGCCCCUCCUCGGCUUCUUUGAGCCCGACUUCUACGACAUCGUGUUCACCUCCAUCCUGGACCCUCCCGACCGCGUCCCUCCCGAGAGGUUCGACGCACGCCGUCAGAUCCGCAGCUUCCGGAAGGCCGAAGUGCUCGGUUGCCGCCACGGCCUCGUCCUCCUCCUGGAGUCAGACGGGUUCAUUGUAUGGGACCCAAUCACCAGCGAGCAUCGCCGCAUCGACGUUCCAGAAGCGUUUGAAAUGUCAUGGUACUUCUAUGGGGCUGUGCUCUGCGCUGCCGCCGACCAGGGCCAUAUGCACGGCAGCUGCCACUCGAGGCCCUUUAAUUUGGUCUUGAUGGCCCCGUGCCAAGGCUCACAAAGCGAUGGUCCACCCAUCGCUUGCGUAUACUCCUCGGAGACUGGACUAUGGGGCGAUCUGAUCUCAACAACGGAUCGAUGUGAGUUUGUUCAUUGUAAUCGUGGGAUCCUUGUUGGUAAUGUCCUUUACUGGUCAUCUAAGAGUGUGAGUGCCGAAUCAAAUUAUUUGGAUUUGGAUGAGCUCGCAGACGACAUAAUUGAGUUUGAUUUGGAUAGCCAGAGUCUUGCUUUGAUCAAGGGGCCUCGAGGACUGAAUUAUUCCACCACGCAUCAGAUAAUCCAGUUAGAGGAUGGUGAUCUUGGUCUUGCCAUAUUGUCUCAUGGUAGAUUCGAAAUGUGGCAGAGGAAGGUCAGUUGUCAAGGUGGUGCCACAUGGUUCCUGCAGAAGACCCUUGACAUUGAUAGUAUUCUUGGGCUCCCUUCUCAGGUUGAGGAAUCAUCGAUGAGAAAGGUGGAAAUACUGGGGUAUGAUGAGGAUAAUGGUGUAAUGUUUUUAUUUCUGGACACCAAUGUCUACAUGCUUCAAGUGAUGUCAAUGCAAUCCAGGAAGCUUCAUCAAAGCCGUUAUGCCAAUAACUGUCAUCCUUUCACAAGUUUCUAUGGACCAGGUGAAGUAGUCAAGGGCUGCUGUUGUCCCUAG
rnacentral:rRNA from 1 species